AACCCGCAUCCUCAUGGAGACAAUGUUGGGGCCUUAACCUGCUGAGCCACAAUGGGAACUCCCCAGCAGGACUUUUGUGACAAUUAGUGUUAAUGGAUGGAUGUAAACUCCUAUCAACCAUUCACCCUGUUAAUUCAUUUAUUAUUUAAUGAAUAUUUAUCUAAUGAAAGGAAGCUGGGCAGAGAGCAGCUGGUCUAUGUUGGGGGCAGUGGAGCAUACAGGUUCAUUUAUCGUGCUUAACAUCCCUAACCUACUCCCCUCAUCUAUCCAGCCCUGAUCUCUGUUGUUCUGCACACUCCCUGAGCCUUCAGGAGUGUCAGGGCUGUGCCUCCUGGGGAGCAUAGGCAGGCUGGUGUGAUGAGAAAAGAGUUUUUCCAAGUCAUGUUCAUGCAAGAGAAUACUUCAAGACUGAAAGUUUUUAAAUUCUUUUAUUAAUCUACUCAGUUAAGAGUGACAAGCAGGGUUCUAAAAACAUGGAGUUAUUUUAUCUACGAUCCAUUUUCCAGUAAGUGACUACCCAGUUAGCUGAAGCACAAGAAUAGGUAAUGGCUUUGUUUUCCUAAGAUGUAGUCAUUCCGAUUAUUUUUAGAUGAAUGAUUCGGAGCCAGAAGUAUAACUCAUAAUUAUGUUGCUAUGAUUCUACAACCAGUUGUUUGGUGGAAUUAGUUUGACCGUGACAACUUUAAAGUCACCACAUUUUCUGAAAAAAAUCAGCAGAUAAAAACUGAAAAUAAAAGAUUCCAUGACACGAAGUGCUGUUUCCUGCUAUUAUCUCACAUCUUUCUCCUCUGAAGCUUGCCUGCUGCCUUCCCUUAGGCUCUUUCCUGGUUUCCAGCUCUUACAAGGCUCCCCCAGGUACUUAAGCCCACUGACAAACCACCGAAUGCUCCAGGAAGCAUUCCUAAAGACCCCAGCCUGAGGAGCUGCUCUCUUCCUCUUAAUUCAUGCAUUGAUUGUGGAUUGGCUACAGCCUUCCUUAGAACUCCUCAUUCUCUCCCUUGAAUUUUGGUUUAUUUUCAAAUAAAUCUCAUUAUUUCCAAAGCUAGUUUUGGUCUAUGUAAAAAUUUUACAUUACAAAAAUUAUAUAUCAAUAUUAUCAAAAAUUUGGAAGAGAGAGGAAAGAAAAAUAUUCAUAAUCUCAUUAUCUCAACACUAAUUCUGUACUCAUCAUUUUAGGGUGUUUUUUCCUAAGCUUUUUUUCUAUGCUUAUUUUUUCACUGAUUUAAUUCCAGUGUCUGUGCAAUUUCACAGUUUGACUUUUUUGCAACUAAUGCUACAUCACCACCAUUAUGGUAAUUGCUAUAUAGUUUUCAUAAAUGUUACUUUAAAGCCUGUGUAAUGUUGACUACUAUCAACAUUUUAGAUUGUUAAUUAUAGUCCACUAUUAUAAAUGGUACUGCAGUUGACAUCUUUAUGCAUGUAGUUUUCUCAGUGUGUGUAUUAUAUGUAUACAUGCAUGUGUAUUUCAAUUUUUUUUUCCCUUAAGCUAGUAUCCCAAAAGGAAAAUUACCAAAUCAAAGAGUAUGAUUAUUUUUAAGGUUUUUGAAACAUAUUGCUAAAUUGGUUUUCUAAAGAGUUGGACCAGUUUAUAUUACCAGAAACAUAUGAGAGUAUCAGUUUCUCCAGACUUUUACCAAAAUUAUUUCUUAAUUAUUAGUCUUCAUAUAAUCAAAGUAAGAUGACAUUUGUUCACGGUUUAAAUUUUUUACUAAGGCAUACAGAAAAGUAUGGAGGAAAAAAUUAGUCCAUGGCCCUGAUUUAUCGAAUUUUAAUACAUUCCCAUUGUACUAGUUUGUACUACAUUGUACUAGUUUUAUAAAAAUAAAAUAUUACAUAUAUAGUGAAGUCUUUGUGUACCCCUUCCCAGUUCUACUCUCUGUACACUUUUACAGAGACGACUGGAACUGGAUGUUUACUGUUCUUUGCAUUUCUGUAUCUUUUAAUUGUUAAGUCUUUGACUACUAACAAAGUUAAACUUUUUCCUAUGGCAUAGCUACUAUGAAAGUUCUUAGGUUCUAGAGUCAGGUAUAACUGGCUUUGAGUUCCUGCUCUGCUUCUUGCUACUCAUGUCUCCUUGAACCUCUCUGUGCCUCAGUUUCCUCAUCUAGAAAAUGGAGAUAAUAAUCAUUCCUACUAUUGUUUAUGUUGCUGUGAAGCUUAACUAUGACAGUUCAGGUAAAAUUCUUGGCCCAGGGCCCAGCACUCGAUAAAGCCUUUCACUAUUACUCUAGUUUCUCUUUUGAAUUGCCCGCUCCUUGUUCUUCUGGAAAAGAUUAGCUUACAACCUGUGACACACUUUAUCAAAUAUGAUCGUAUUUACUCUUCACGACAGCUCUGUGAGAUAGUAUUGCGGUGAUCCCAUUUGAUAAAUGAGGAAACGGAGCCUGAAUGGUCCAUAGGCUAGCAGGGAGCAGAGCUGUGUCUGAACUCGGUCUCAGGAGCAGGCAGCUCACUGCCCUUCUGUGCUGCUGCCCCUUCACCUCUGAAACUAGACAUGCUUUUUCAUGAUACGAUAUCACAUCACGAGCCCAUAAGGUAGUUUUAGCACAGUUCUGUAACACAGUCAUUACAGAUGGAUCCCAGUUUCUGUAUUUAUAAUUGUUUUCUUUUUCUAUCUUUUCUGAAUAUUCUGCAAGAAAUAUUUAUUGCUCUUAUAAAACCAGAUAUGCUUCUAAAUGCAUCAAAAACGUUGCCAGGAGUUUCCGUAGCAGUUCAGUAGAAGCGGAAACAAUCCGACUAGGAACCAUGAGGUUGCGGGUUUGAACCCUGGCCUUGCUCAGUGGGUUAAGGAUCCAGCAUUGCUGUGAGCUGUGGUGUAGGUUGAAGAUGCAGCUCGGAUCUGAUGUUGCUGUGGCUGUGGUGUAGGCUGGCAUCUGUAGCUCUGAUUUGACCCAUAGCCUGGGAACCUCCAUAUGCCAUGGGUGCGCCCCUAAAAAAGCGUUAAAAAAAAAGUUACCAGUUAUGUAAUAUGAUUAUAUUAUAUUGACAAUAUUAGAGAUUUAAGAUCUCUAGGCUUGGUAUUGCCUUUUUUCUGAAUUUUUAAAAAUAAGUCAAAGUAAAGAUCUUAAGCAAUUUCUGCAUCCAAAUUUCAGUGCCUGAAUGUAUGAAUCUAAAACAUUCUAAUUAAAAUAACCUCAAAAUGAUCCACUGUAUUUAAUAGGUAGCUAGAGUAAUAUGAACAUUGUAUGAUUUAUGAAAACUUAAUUUUAAAAGAAAAAUGUUACUAAAAUGUAUUUAUAAACCAUAAGUCAUGAAACUUUAUCUUGUAUUGUUUUUUUUUUUGAGGCACAAGAAAAAAGAAUAUUUUUUUUCUUUUUACAGCUGCACCUGAGGCAUAUGGAAGCUCCUGGGCUAGGAGUCGAACUGGAGCCGCAUCUAAGCCCCAGCCAUGGCAACACCAGAUCCUUAACCCACUGAGCUAGGCGAGGGGCCAAACCAGCAUCCUUACAGAGACAACGUCGGGUCCUUAACCUUCUGGGCCGCAACAGGAACUCCGGGAACAUUUUUUAAGGUGAUAUUUUAUGGUAAUGAUAUUUUUCUCAGUUUGUCAAUACUCGUUUUUCCUUUGAACACACUGAUGUUGCUCAUAUUAAGUGACAUUCUCCUUAUCAUAUCUAAGAUUCAGAGAACCCAAAAGGGGUGGGUGUUAAUGAGGAGUCACACCCAACAUGACAAACCCCCAGGCAUGGCAGAAUGAGGUACCAUUAAUGGCAACUAGAGGACCAGAGAGUACCUCAAGACUCAGGAAAAGUGUGUUAUGGACACAAGGUUAUGCCAAGGCUAUUUACUGAACUAAACACUGAAGUAUUUUGAAAAGACCAAUAUAGAGCCUGCCAAUCUAAGUCCAGUGUUUGUUUUGGUUUUACUCCAACAGGAGAAUAAUCUGGUUCUUUUUUUUUUUUUUUUCUCCCAGAAAACACAGGGUUCAGGUAAAUGGCAGUAUGGGAGUCUAUAAAAACCAUCACUUUAUAAAUGACAGUCUGCCUGUCACCUGGCGAUCUGCCAAUUCUCCCAGCUAUUCACUGGAGCAAUACUCUGAGUCUGGCCUCUUGCCAGUGUCUGAAAAGGGCUCAAGCCAUGGGAGCUUCUCUGUGGCUCUCACUGCAGGUCUCCUUUCGUGGACCUUUUCCAGGAAGGUGGCAGUCACUUCAGCAGAAAGCCACCUCGCAACCCACGAAGUUUACCUCUUUCUGGAGACUGUGUUAGCAGAUGAAUGCCCCCACAUUCCAAAAUAUUUUAAGGAAAUUCAUCAUAAGCCUCUGGAUGAAAAGGCAACAGAAAAACUACAGUGCCUGGUAGGUCCUUACAGGGGGAUAAAUACCUCUGCCCUGAGGUAUUUCACAGAGUUGCACAUGCUCAUCUGCUAACUACGACUCAUUUCCUUUAUGAAAUUUUAAGCAAUCUGUUCUAAGAGAUGGUAUGGAAGAAGAUGAAAAUUCCUUUUUAAAAAAACAAUGUGUUAAAACCCAAACUCAAAAUCAGAGCAAAAAUACAUUGCUCUUCUCUGCUUGGAUUUUCUAGAAACAGCUUCAGGCAGCAGGGUGAAUUCCGGGGGCCGUUUUAGGGCAAGCCGGGGUGGGAUUAGAUGUUCCAGCCUGUACAGUUCUCCUAAGCCUGCCAUGAUCUGUAACUUAGCUCUUGGGCCUGGGCCAGAACCAGACCAACAUUCAAGGGUGAGCAAAGAAGGCAGCCGCCUUUGGGCAACUGCUGUGCAGAAUUCUCUGGAUAAUGCCUUUCACUCUGUUCUCCCCAACACUGGUCAAACACCCUCAAUCCAUCCUCUGCUUCCUUAGCGUCACUGUAGGUCUCUCCUGCUGAAGUUACAUACCUUUUUAAGAUUAUGAAAAUAAAUGCUAACCAUGCUAUUUUUGGGUCUCAGUUGAAAACAAUUAUCCUUUAGCAAUUUUCACAGUAUAAAUAAGGCUAAAGUUUGCUCUAUAACUUCAUUAAGAGAGUAUCUGUAAUGGGGGAAAAAGUACCAAAUUAUUUAAUGUAAAGAUUUAUAUAACAUCCCAACUAGGAAAAUGUCAUAUAAAUUUAUGUAUAUCAUAUAUGUAUCUUUCAUAAUUUGUUUUGUCAUCUUUCAUAAUAUAUGUAUGAGGAGUGUGAAUUUAAUUUUAGAUGCUUUAUUCAUUGAUAAUCCAUCUCAGAUUCUCUGUGAGCACUCAUGAUAAUGAAUGUAUUUGAUGUUCAGGUGGCUUCUCUGUGCUUUCAUUUUGCAGUUUUGCAGCUGAGUAAUCGAUAAUUCAAGGUACACAGAACAUUAAAAAAAAGUCUCAGUUAUUAUAAUGAAAGUACAAAUUGGUUUUUCCAGGCUUUUAAAAACUUUAAAGCCUUACUGGGUUGUAAGGAAAGUCUAUAUAAGUUUUUCCUUCUGAAUUAAGUUCUAGGCAGUACGAUAAAAUAGAGUCCCCAAGAGUUCUCCCGUGGCUCAGCAGGUUAAGGAUCCCAUGUUGUCACUGUAGUGGCUUGGGUCACUGCUGUGGCAUGGGUUUGAUCCCUGGCUGGGAACUUCUGCAUGGCGAGAGUGUAGCCUCCUCCCAC
rnacentral:lncRNA from 1 species